UACGUAGGGGGCAAGCGUUGUCCGGAUUUAUUGGGCGUAAAGAGCGUGUAGGCGGCCAGACAGGUCAGCUGUGAAAACUCGAGGCUCAACCUCGAGACGCCGGUGGAAACCGUAAAGCUAGAGUCCGGAAGAGGAGAGUGGAAUUCCUGGUGUAGCGGUGAAAUGCGCAGAUAUCAGGAGGAACACCCGCGGCGAAAGCGGCUCUCUGGGACGGUACUGACGCUGAGACGCGAAAGCGUGGGGAGCAAACAGG
rnacentral:rRNA from 1 species